UACGAACUGUGCGAACGUUAUUCGGAAUCACUGGGCUUACAGGGUGCGUAGGCGGCUCAACAAGUCAGGUGUGAAAGCCCCCGGCUCAACCGGGGAACUGCGCUUGAAACUGUUAGGCUCGAGUCAGCUAGAGGUACACGGAACUUCCAGUGGAGCGGUGAAAUGUGUUGAUAUUGGAAGGAACACCGGAGGCGAAAGCGGUGUACUGGGGCUGGUCUGACGCUGAGGAGCGAAAGCGUGGGGAGCGAACAGG
rnacentral:rRNA from 1 species